GGGGGCGGCGGGGCCGGGCGGGGGCCGGGCCGGGGGCGGUGCUGCCUCCGCGGCCGCGCGGGACAGACGGCAGCGGGAGCCGGGGCCGGAACCGGAGCCCGAGCCGGGCAGGAGGAGCCGCAGUGGGAGCCGGGCGUGGUGAGCGGAGAGCGGUGAGCGGAGCUGCCCCGGCCCCAGCGGGGUGGCCGCGGGCAGGAAGGUGCCGCGCUGCCGGUUGCGCCUGAGCCGGAGCAUCCCGGCGGGGUCAGCCGCCUUCAUUUUCCAAGGGAGGUGGGCACUCCGGGUUUGGGGUGCUUUUUUUCCCCCUGCCCUAGUACCCCGUGCGCGUUGUUCGUGCCCUCGGCCGGCAGAGCUGCCCGGCGGCCGGGCGCUGUUGCUCGCACGUCCCGCAGCGCCGGGGCUGCUCCUCCCGCUGUCCGGCACCGGCUGAGGCGGGUCCCGGCGGGUUUGGGAAGCCGCCGCGAGCUCAGGAGCAGCGCCCGCCGUGCCUCGCCGGUGCUGCUGCUCCGAGAGAACCUUCUCAGCGGUUUGCCUGUCCUGUGCCGUAACCAAGGGCAUUUGAUUUUCACAAACGUUUAACUGAGCUCUCCUCUGCUCUGGUGAACAGGCUUGCCUGCCUGCUGACUGCUACUUGCUAUAUCUAGUGCUUUUCUCACCAUGCAGUCCCUUUAGAUUUGGGCGUGAUAACCAACCUGCACAUUGGACAUUUGGCUUGUAUCCCCGUAUCUUCUUCCUGCUUUUCCAAAGGAUAUGAUCUUAAAUUGUCCUGGCUUGAGCAGUAAAGGAUAAAUUUGUUCACUGUCUGACUCGUCAUCUCACCGUUGUGAUGGAAAAAUGCUCGCUUAAUAUAAACCCUUUUUAUUUUACUAAAACCUUUGAAUACAAGAUCUGUUGUGAUUUUUAAAACUCAAAUCCAGUAAUGUCAGAACCUGACCCUUCAUCUGGAUUUGUAGGAAACAUGGAAAAUGGGACUUUUCUGGAGCUGUAUCCCACAUCUCUUUCAACUUCAGUGGAUUCAUCACCUGGCCGUUUAUCCAAUGUUUAUGUCUAUGUUUCUAUAUUCCUUAGCCUCUUAGCUUUUCUCCUUUUGCUGUUGAUCAUUGCACUGCAGAGGCUGAAAAACAUAAUUUCUUCCAGUUCCUCCUACCCAGAAUACAAUAGUGAUGCUGGAAGUUCAUUCACUAAUUUAGAGGUUUGUAGUAUUUCUUCCCAGCGCUCUGCUCUCUCAAACCUUUCUUCAUGAAACUAAAUGAAAGGUAAUACAUGGGGAAUGGGAGAGCUCUGUCUAGUUUCUUGGGGAGGUAAUGCAUGCAACAUUCGCCUUAGAAGACUGUUAUGAAGAGGAGGUUUUUUAAGUUUCCUUAUUUUUUCCCCUUUCCUUUUCUAGUCUUCAUUUCUUCUUUAACUAAUUUUCAUUUUGGACAAUGGAUAAUGAUACUUGAUCAUCAUUUCUUGCCUGUAAUAGUGAUGCUGUCUCUUUCUCACACAUAUAUGGUAUUCAUUAAGAGCAUUCCUGCCAAAUUGUAAUACAGUUUUAACUUGAUGUGUCAGUUUUCUGCCCUAGUUGUGACCCCUUCCUUGGUUUUGUGUCAGUAAUAUACUGACUAAUUUUCUUUCUCAUGUUUUAAUUAUAUAAGGACUUCUGAAUGAAAUCCCUAUUGCAAAAGUAUAAAAAAAAUCUGCUUAAAUUAUAAAUAUUAUGAAAAAUUGAAGCUGUUGGUAUUGUUUCUUUUUUUUUUUAAUUUUCAUGUCUUUUUUUGGUAUUUAUUGAUGUUUAUAAAACACAACUAAAAUCCAUUUCUUGAAGAAUAUUGCCUGUGUUUAUUUGUACUCCCAACUUGUUCUGUAUAAAGUCUGUAUUUCAGUUUUUGAGUCUCUGGUUAACUUAGUAAAGUGACUUUAAUAACAAUACUCAGUAUCGAAUGUGUGGAGGUAUUUUUAGACCCUGUUGCAGCUCAUUUGCUUAAUGACUUGUUCCUCCAGGGGGCAGCUUUUGCUGCUGAAUCAUAAAUACCACUCAACUCCUUUGCAUUCUUCACUAAUACUGUAGCUUAUUCUUACUGGAUACCGGGACAAACUAGUGAUUUCUUUUAAAAGACCUGCAAUCAACAAAUGUAGUUUUCAAGGGAAUAGCUCCUAAACUGUCCUUUAGGCACAAGAUAUUUGUACUCAUGUGAGCAGGGCUAGCAGGGACAGAAAUUACUUGUACUGGUGAAGACUUUCUGGGCCAGGUUUUGUCCUGUGAUUUCACAAAUGCACACUGGGGUGGAGCGAGGACUUGAGGAUCUGUGUUAUGGCCAGGCAGACCUGUGCCCUGACCGUCAGAGCUGUACCUGCAGAGAGCAGGAAGGGAUGGGCAGGAAAAUGGCAGUGGCCUUGCCUGUUUUCUCCGUCAGCAUAAGGAAAGGCCAGAGAUGAGAGGGAGAGAAAUGGAUGAUGUUUCAUCAGUCUCAUUCCUUUUUGCCAUGUCAUAGUUUCGGUUAUGAUUCCCCCAGCCCAAAAUGUAACACUUCACUCAAUUUCUGCAGUAAAAUAACUAGAAGCUUUGUUAACAGGAUCCUUUGGUCAGCUGGGCUUUAAAUCAAGCCAGACAUUCAAAGUAGUGAUUUGGAAUGCCAAGUGUGACUUGCUAGGACUGCAGCCACAUACUGCAGUGUGAUGCCUUGUUUUUCUUACUGCACUGUGUGAGCACAGCCCCAUCCUGCCACUCAAGCCCAUGCAACUUUUGCUCUCAUGGCAGGAUCCAAGCUACUGCAGAGACCCAAGAAAGGGUACAGCGAUGUCACUGCUGUUUCUGUUGCUGGCAUAACAGCAGGCACAGCUCUGGGAGAUGGAUUGGUCUCAACAGGAACACAGGGCAGCUGCCCUCUCCUUGCAUGGCAAGCCUACUACCCAGCAGGCUUAGGGGUUACGGAGCUGCAGAAGACCUCCCAACCAGAUUUAUGCCUCCUGCAAACCUGUCAUUGUGCUCGUCAACAAGACAGACUGUCAUUAACUACACAGGCUUUAAAAGAGAAAUUUGGAAAGCCCAGUGUAAAUAUAAUCAUUAGAAAUGCAGCUUCUCAGCCAAACAACACAGAUGAUUCUGGAGUCGGUGUUUUCAAUUUUUAAAAUGACAUAUGGGAUUGUAUAGUCGUCCUGAUUUCAGCUGAGUUGCACCUGUUCUCUUCAGGACAGAUCUGAGUAGAAACAAGUAGGAUCCAACAAAAUAGCAUCAGGAGAAGCCACAGGAGAAAAGCACCAUGGCAUUUUUGAGGAUUGCUAAGUACCAGUUCAUCAAGAAAAAAAAAAGAGAAAAGAAAAAACAAACCAAUCUGACAACCUGAGCCUGAGCUAACUUGACAACACUAGAACAGGAUUCCUAGAGAGGUGGUUGAUACCCCAAGCCUGUCAGUGUUUAAGAGGCACUUAGACAAUGCCCUUAACAUGCUCUAACUUUUGGUAAA